rnacentral:misc_RNA from 1 species
GUCACAUCACAUUUUCUUCGCCUGCAACUUUUUAUAUACGUAUACCUCAAAUUUCCAUAACAAGCCGCUAAAAGAAAUUCUAGUAAAAUUGGGUUUUGAAACGAAACAAUCAAGAAAUGUAAUUGGUAGGAGCUAAGGAUUCUUAUAAUAUGAUUUUUCCAGGGAACUGAAUUGAGCUUCACUUGACAGGUAGUGUUGUCUGGG